rnacentral:rRNA from 1 species
UACGAACGCUGGCGGCGUGCCUAAUACAUGCAAGUAGAACGCUGAAGAGAGGAGCUUGCUCUUCUUGGAUGAGUUGCGAACGGGUGAGUAACGCGUAGGUAACCUGCCUUGUAGCGGGGGAUAACUAUUGGAAACGAUAGCUAAUACCGCAUAACAAUGGAUGACACAUGUCAUUUAUUUGAAAGGGGCAAUUGCUCCACUACAAGAUGGACCUGCGUUGUAUUAGCUAGUAGGUGAGGUAAUGGCUCACCUAGGCGACGAUACAUAGCCGACCUGAGAGGGUGAUCGGCCACACUGGGACUGAGACACGGCCCAGACUCCUACGGGAGGCAGCAGGAGGGAAUCUUCGGCAAUGGGGGCAACCCUGACCGAGCAACGCCGCGUGAGUGGAGAAGGUUUUCGGAUCGUAAAGCUCUGUUGUAAGUCAAGAACGGGUGUGAGAGUGGAAAGUUCACACUGUGACGGUAGCUUAACAGAAAGGGACGGCUAACUACGUG